CCAGACUCCUACGGGAGGCAGCAGUGGGGAAUAUUGCACAAUGGGCGGAAGCCUGAUGCAGCAACGCCGCGUGCGGGAUGACGGCCUUCGGGUUGUAAACCGCUUUCACCCAUGACGAAGCGCGAGUGACGGUAGUGGGGGAAGAAGCACCGGCCAACUACGUGCCAGCAGCCGCGGUGAUACGUAGGGUGCGAGCGUUGUCCGGAAUUAUUGGGCGUAAAGAGCUUGUAGGCGGUUGAUCGCGUCGAUAGUGAAAUCCCGGGGCUCAACCUCGGGCUUGCUGUCGAUACGGGUUGACUUGAGGAAGGUAGGGGAGAAUGGAACUCCCGGUGGAGCGGUGGAAUGCGCAGAUAUCGGGAAGAACACCGGUGGCGAAGGCGGUUCUCUGGACCUUUCCUGACGCUGAGAAGCGAAAGCGUGGGGAGCAAACAGGCUUAGAUACCCUGGUAGUCCACGCUGUAAACGGUGGGUACUAGGUGUGGGUCGCAUUCCACGUGAUCCGUGCCGUAGCCAACGCAUUAAGUACCCCGCCUGGGGAGUACGGCCGCAAGGCUAAAACUCAAAGGAAUUGACGGGGCCCGCACAAG
rnacentral:rRNA from 1 species